rnacentral:rRNA from 1 species
GNNGAAACUGACGCUGAGGCACGAAAGCGUGGGGAUCGAACAGGAUUAGAUACCCUGGUANNNNNCGCCGUAAACGAUGAUCACUAGCUGUUGGCGAUACAUAGUCAGGGGCAAAGCGAAAGCAUUAAGUGAUCCACCUGGGGAGUACGGUCGCAAGACUGAAACUCAAAGGAAUUGACGGGGGCCCGCACAAGCGGUGGAACAUGUGGUUUAAUUCGAUGAUACGCGAGGAACCUUACCUGGGCUUAAAUGUGAGACGACGUUCCGGGAAAUCGGAAUUCCCUUCGGGGCGUUUUGCAAGGUGCUGCAUGGUUGUCGUCAGCUCGUGCCGUGAGGUGUCGGGUUAAGUCCCAUAACGAGCGCAACCCUUAUCGUUAGUUGCCAGCGGGUAAUGCCGGGGACUCUAGCGAAACUGCCGGUGUAAACCGAGAGGAAGGUGGGGAUGACGUCAAAUCAGCACGGCCCUUAUGUCCAGGGCUACACACGUGUUACAAUGGUCGGUACAGAGGGCAGCUACCUGGUGACAGGAUGCUAAUCUCGAAAGCCGGUCUUAGUUCGGAUCGAAGUCUGCAACUCGACUUCGUGAAGCUGGAAUCGCUAGUAAUCGCGCAUCAGCCACGGCGCGGUGAAUACGUUCCCGGGCCUUGUACACACCGCCCGUCAAGCCAUGGAAGCCGGGGGUACCUGAAGUCUGUNA